rnacentral:snoRNA from 1 species
CCUCUCUCAGGGUCGCACCUGGAGAGUUUCCAGUACUCUACCAGUCUCAACUACGGGAGAGAGAGUCAAGCAGAGGCCUACUCAUUCCAUUCCUACCUUGGGCAGUGGCUAGUGAGUGGAAGGUCAUCUGCUACAAGU